rnacentral:ribozyme from 1 species
AGCAAUACCCCGCUAGUGCGGGAAUGGAUCCAAAGCUUCCAGAAGAUGAACAUACGCUCUCCAUUCCAUACUCCUACUCAAUACGUCCUCGGCGUACAGAACAACACCAUGUAUCUCUAUUAUCCAAGCUUGGGUAAAUGGCGAAAAUCAUACAAUUUGGGGAGAUGGGAGGCAG